GUGGGGAAUCUUGCGCAAUGGGCGAAAGCCUGACGCAGCCAUGCCGCGUGAAUGAUGAAGGUCUUAGGAUUGUAAAAUUCUUUCACCGGGGACGAUAAUGACGGUACCCGGAGAAGAAGCUCCGGCUAACUUCGUGCCAGCAGCCGCGGUAAUACGAAGGGGGCUAGCGUUGCUCGGAAUUACUGGGCGUAAAGGGCGCGUAGGCGGACAGCUUAGUCAGAGGUGAAAGCCCAGGGCUCAACCUUGGAAUUGACUUUGAUACUGGAUGUCUUGAGUUUGGGAGAGGUGAGUGGAACUCCGAGUGUAGAGGUGAAAUUCGUAGAUAUUCGGAAGAACACCAGUGGCGAAGGCGACUCACUGGCCCAAUACUGACGCUGAGGCGCGAAAGCGUGGGGAGCAAACAGGAUUAGAAACCCUGGUAGUCC
rnacentral:rRNA from 1 species